GUGGUGAGACUGAGCCCCACAGGUGGAGUGAAUUCCCAAAUCCACGCCCAGCGUGUACCUGGACGGGGCUUAACCCCAGUUAAACAUAUUGAUGUGGGAACAGAGAUGAUACUGAGAGAACAGUGGUUGCCUGACUGAGACACCACUGAUACCCAACUCUUCCAUGUUGCCAAGGUGAAAGAAAUGUGCUCUGUUGAAGUGUCCUACUGGUACAGCAAUGACAAGAACCAGAAGCUCUGGACACAGCAGUUGGAUAACGCAUGAUUUGCUGGCGGAAGGGCUGCUUGAGGGUGGUUCCCACCACGAGGUUACAGACAUUCAGCCAACCGCCUGGCUCCCGUCUCUUGACCCCUGCCUCCUGCCACUGGCCUGGCCUGGAGAGUCUGUUUUCAUUUUGUUAGACCACCGUUUCUUGUGUGUGCCGCACGUGAAAUGGAACAUCGGGGGAGGCACCACCAGGCGGCGUGAGGCGCAGAAGCAGAACAAGACCGAGGGGUGGGAACUGCAGAAAGGCAACUCUCCCGUGGACGUGAGGAGCCAGUCCAAAACAGCGGCACUACUCUCUAAUCACCAGACUCUCCCGCGUUCCAGACUCAGCUUCCGAGCUGUGACUCCCCGAGUGUGCACGGGUGCACCUGUGUUCCAAAUAAAGCCUCGCCAGCCCGGAGGCCAGGGGGUCGCAUGUUCAGUCCCGUGA
rnacentral:lncRNA from 1 species